GACGAACGCUGGCGGCGUGCCUAACACAUGCAAGUCGAACGGAAAGGCCCUGCUUUUGUGGGGUGGUCGAUAGGCGAACGGGUGAGAAACACGUGAGUAACCUGCCCUUAUCUUUGGGAUAACUUCAGGAAACUGGGGCUAUUACCGCAUAUGAGCUCCUGCUGCAUGGUGGGGGUUGGAAAGUUUCGGCGGUUGGGGAUGGACUCGCGGCUUAUCAGCUUGCUUGUGGACUAGUGGCUGACCAAGCGUUCCACGGCUAGCCGACCUGAGAGGGUGACCAGAGACAAUAGGACUAAGAGAGGGACCAGACCGGAACGUGAGGCAACGGUGGGGAACAUGGCACAAUAGGCCAAAGUCAGUUGCAGCAACGCCGGGAGCGGGAUGACGGCCUACGGGUUAAAAACCGCUUUCGCCGGUGACAAGGCGUGAGUGACGGUACCGGGUAAAGAAGCACCGGCUAACUACGUG
rnacentral:rRNA from 1 species